UCAGAGGGGGGUAGAAUUNCACGUGUAGCAGUGAAAUGCGUAGAGAUGUGGAGGAAUACCGAUGGCGAAGGCAGCCCCCUGGGAUAAUACUGACGUUCAUGCUCGAAAGCGUGGGUAGCAAACAGGAUUAGAUACCCUGGUAGUCCACGCCCUAAACGAUGUCGAUUAGCUGUUGGGCAACUUGAUUGCUUAGUAGCGUAGCUAACGCGUGAAAUCGACCGCCUGGGGAGUACGGUCGCAAGAUUAAAACUCAAAGGAAUUGACGGGGACCCGCACAAGCGGUGGAUGAUGUGGAUUAAUUCGAUGCAACGCGAAGAACCUUACCUGGUCUUGACAUGUACGGAAGAACUCAGAGACGAGUUUGUGCCUUCGGGAGCCGUAACACAGGUGCUGCAUGGCUGUCGUCAGCUCGUGUCGUGAGAUGUUGGGUUAAGUCCCGCAACGAGCGCAACCCUUGUCAUUAGUUGCCAUCAUUUAGUUGGGCACUCUAAUGAGACUGCCGGUGACAAACCGGAGGAAGGUGGGGAUGACGUCAAGUCCUCAUGGCCCUUAUGACCAGGGCUUCACACGUCAUACAAUGGUCGGUACAGAGGGUAGCCAAGCCGCGAGGUGGAGCCAAUCCCAGAAAACCGAUCGUAGUCCGGAUUGCACUCUGCAACUCGAGUGCAUGAAGUCGGAAUCGCUAGUAAUCGCAGGUCAGCAUACUGCGGUGAAUACGUUCCCGGGUCUUGUACACACCGCCCGUCACACCAUGGGAGUGGGGGAUACCAGAAGUAGGUAGGGUAAC
rnacentral:rRNA from 1 species